rnacentral:rRNA from 1 species
UACGUAGGGUGCGAGCGUUAAUCGGAAUUACUGGGCGUAAAGCGUGCGCAGGCGGUUCGUUAAGUUCGUUGUGAAAGCCCCGGGCUCAACCUGGGAACUGCAAUGGAAACUGGCGGGCUUGAGUGCGGCAGAGGGGAGUGGAAUUCCGCGUGUAGCAGUGAAAUGCGUAGAGAUGCGGAGGAACACCGAUGGCGAAGGCAGCCCCCUGGGCCGACACUGACGCUCAGGCACGAAAGCGUGGGGAGCAAACAGG